AGAGUUUGAUCCUGGCUCGGGAUGAACGCUAGCUACAGGCUUAACACAUGCAAGUCGAGGGGAAACGAUAUUGGAAGCUUGCUUCCGAUAGGCGUCGACCGGCGCACGGGUGAGUAACGCGUAUCCAACCUGCCCACCACUUGGGGAUAACCUUGCGAAAGUAAGACUAAUACCCAAUGACGUCUCUAGAAGACAUCUGAAAGAGAUUAAAGAUUUAUCGGUGAUGGAUGGGGAUGCGUCUGAUUAGCUUGUUGGCGGGGUAACGGCCACCAAGGCUACGAUCAGUAGGGGUUCUGAGGAGGAAGGUCCCCCACAGUUCGGAACUGAGACACGGUCCAAACUCCUACGGGAGCA
rnacentral:rRNA from 1 species